GUUGAGGGUGUUGAGGGUGUUGAGGGUGCUUAGUGUGCUUAGUGUUUUUUCCGUGUGGGGUCUCUGCUUAUCGCGGCUAGGUUUCGCGCAUCCUUGGGCAGACGGAUUGGUCCUUUGCUGGGGCCGGGAGGGACUCAGCGUAGACGGGUAGCGGAAUGGUGAGAAGGGGGUUAACACGGAAUGACCCGCCCUGCUCCUCAGUGUGCGCACUGGGCCCGCGACAGCGCGGGGCAUCGCAGCUCCGCCUCCGGGGCCCCGGAACGGUAGAAGAGGAUGGUCGGGCAGCUGUGUAGCUUUAUGCGGCCCGCUGUGGGCCCCCGCAGAGCCGCCAGCAGUCCAAAGGGGCAUGCCUUGGGUUUGCGCUGUAACUAUCGUCUGGUGGUAUAUGGGUGACUUCGAAGAUGCCUCUGCGCGGACAUAACUCAAUCGACUGAGAGAUGACCCCAAGGAAGGAAGCCCCCACCUGGACGACAGAGCAGGCAGAUGGAGCCUAGUCCCUAACACCCUGGAGGUGACAAAAAGCCCUACACUGCCUUGCCUGGACCUCAUACAUACUGUGAAAUAAACUGCUGUAAUCUGGGGUUUCUGAUACAUGCAGCAAGCCUGGCCUAGAGUAGGGGGUUGCAGGUGUGCGAAGCUCAGGAAGACUUGCUCCAGUGAAAUCUGGCUCACUGAGUAGUCAUCCACUCCAUACUUCUCCUUGGCUUUCUCCAGGAUACCAAAAACCUUCAGAAGCAGAAGCCACUGGUGGCAGGAACCGUCACGGGCUUCUCAUCUCAUGAUAUCUGGGUCAUGCUACCAAACUCCUGCCUGAUCUGGAGCCAUGGGUGGGAAG